GAUCCUGGCUCAGGAUGAACGCUAGCUACAGGCUUAACACAUGCAAGUCGAGGGGAAACGAUAGAGAAAGCUUGCUUUUUUCUAGGGCGUCGACCGGCGCACGGGUGAGUAACGCGUAUCCAACCUGCCCAUCACUUGGGGAUAACCUUGCGAAAGUAAGACUAAUACCCAAUGACGUCUCUAGAAGACAUCUGAAGGAGAUUAAAGAUUUAUCGGUGAUGGAUGGGGAUGCGUCUGAUUAGCUUGUUGGCGGGGUAACGGCCCACCAAGGCGACGAUCAGUAGGGGUUCUGAGAGGAAGGUCCCCCACAUUGGAACUGAGACACGGUCCAAACUCCUACGGGAGGCAGCAGUGAGGAAUAUUGGUCAAUGGACGAGAGUCUGAACCAGCCAAGUAGCGUGCAGGAUGACGGCCCUAUGGGUUGUAAACUGCUUUUAUAAGGGAAUAAAGUGGGAGUCGUGACUCUUUUUGCAUGUACCUUAUGAAUAAGGACCGGCUAAUUCCGUG
rnacentral:rRNA from 1 species